UACGAAGGGGGGCUAGCGUUGUUCGGAUUUACUGGGCGUAAAGCGCACGUAGGCGGAUCGUUAAGUCGGGGGUGAAAUCCUGGAGCUCAACUCCAGAACUGCCUUCGAUACUGGCGAUCUUGAGUCCGGAAGAGGUGAGUGGAACUCCUAGUGUAGAGGUGGAAUUCGUAGAUAUUUAGGAAAGAACACCAGUGGCGAAGGCGGCUCACUGGUCCGGUACUGACGCUGAGGUGCGAAAGCGUGGGGAGCAAACAGG
rnacentral:rRNA from 1 species